UUUGAUCAUGGCUCAGAUUGAACGCUGGCGGCAGGCCUAACACAUGCAAGUCGAGCGGCAGCACAGAGAAACUUGUUUCUCGGGUGGCGAGCGGCGGACGGGUGAGUAAUGCCUGGGAAAUUGCCCUGAUGUGGGGGAUAACCAUUGGAAACGAUGGCUAAUACCGCAUGAUAGCUUCGGCUCAAAGAGGGGGACCUUCGGGCCUCUCGCGUCAGGAUAUGCCCAGGUGGGAUUAGCUAGUUGGUGAGGUAAGGGCUCACCAAGGCGACGAUCCCUAGCUGGUCUGAGAGGAUGAUCAGCCACACUGGAACUGAGACACGGUCCAGACUCCUACGGGAGGCAGCAGUGGGGAAUAUUGCACAAUGGGCGCAAGCCUGAUGCAGCCAUGCCGCGUGUGUGAAGAAGGCCUUCGGGUUGUAAAGCACUUUCAG
rnacentral:rRNA from 1 species